UCGAGGAUCUUUCGCAAUGGGCUAAAGCCUGACGAAGCGACGCCGUGUGAGUGAAGAAGGCCUUCGGGUUGUAAAGCUCUUUCGCCUGGGAACAAGAGAAGCUGGUAAAUAAUCAGCUGAUUUGAGGGUACUAGGUAAAGAAGCACCGGCUAACUCCGUGCCAGCAGCUGCGGUAAUACGGAGGGUGCAAGCAUUAAUCGGAUUUAUUGGGCGUAAAGGGCGCGUAGGCGGUAGGGAAAGUCAGAUGUGAAAUUCCGGAGCUCAACUUCGGAACGGCAUCUGAAACUUCUUUACUUGAGGUAAGGCGGGGAAAACGGAAUUCAACAUGUAGCGGUGAAAUGCGUGGAUAUGUUGAAGAACACCGGUGGCGAAGGCGGUUUUCUAGCCUUUACCUGACGCUGAAGCGCGAAAGUGUGGGGAGCAAACAGGAUUAGAUACCCCCGUAGUCC
rnacentral:rRNA from 1 species